rnacentral:rRNA from 1 species
GUGUCAGCAGCCGCGGUAAUACGUAGGGUGCAGGCGUUAAUCGGAAUUACUGGGCGUAAAGCGUGCGCAGGCGGCUCCUUAAGUCAGAUGUGAAAGCCCCGGGCUUAACCUGGGAACUGCGUUUGAAACUGGGGAGCUAGAGUGUAGAAGAGGGGGGUGGAAUUCCAGGUGUAGCAGUGAAAUGCGUAGAGAUCUGGAGGAACACCGAUGGCGAAGGCAGCCCCCUGGGCUAACACUGACGCUCAUGCACGAAAGCGUGGGGAGCAAACAGGAUUAGAAACCCCCGUAGUCC